rnacentral:rRNA from 1 species
GACGAACGCUGGCGGCGUGCUUAACACAUGCAAGUCGAACGGAAAGGCCCUGCUUUUUUGGGGUGCUCGAGUGGCGAACGGGUGAGUAACACGUGAGUAACCUGCCCUUGACUUUGGGAUAACUUCAGGAAACUGGGGCUAAUACCGGAUCGGAUCUCCUGCUGCAUGGUGGGGGUUGGAACGUCUCGGCGGGUGGGGAUGGAUGCGCGGCUUAUCAGCUUGCUGGUGGGCCAGUGGCUUACCAAGGCUUUGACUGAUAGCCGGCCUGAGAGGGUGAACGGCCACCAUAGGCCUGCGAUACGGCCCAGACUCCUACGGGAGGCAGCAGUGGGGAAUAUUGCACAGUGGGCGGAAGCCUGAUGCAGCGACGCCGCGUGCGGGAUGACGGCCUUCGGGUUGUGAACCGCUUUCGCCUGUGACGAAGCGGGAGUGACGGUAAUGGAUAAAGAAGCACCGGCUAACUACGUG